AUUGAACGCUGGCGGCAGGCCUAACACAUGCAAGUCGAGCGAGCGGCGGACGGGUGAGUAAUGUCUGGGAAACUGCCUGAUGGAGGGGGAUAACUACUGGAAACGGUAGCUAAUACCGCAUACCAUCAGAUGUGCCCAGGUGGGAUUAGCUAGUGGGUGGGGUAAUGGCUCACCUAGGCGACGAUCCCUCGCUGGUCUGAGAGGAUGACCAGCAACACGGGAACUGAGACACGGUCCAGACUCCUACGGAGGGCGGCAGUGGGGAGUAUUGCACAAUGGGCGAAAGCCUGAAGCAGCCAUGCGGCGUGUGUGAAGAAGGCCUUGGGGUUGUAAGGCACUUUCAGCGGGGAGACGUUACCCGCAGAAGAAGCACCGGCUAACUCCGUGCCAGCAGCCGCGGUAAUUC
rnacentral:rRNA from 1 species